rnacentral:tRNA from 1 species
AUCAAAGUAGUUUAAAAAAAUACUAAUUUGUGGUAUUAGAGACACCAGUUUAAAUCUGGUCUAUGAUC